rnacentral:lncRNA from 1 species
UCGGUCGAGUCGCGAAGUGGGUUCUGCGCCGCUGCCGUCGUCCUCCGACGGGGAAUCGGGUUCUGCUAAAUGGGUUCGCUUCCGUUUUCUGGAAAAGGGGAUGAGAGAGAGUGAGGCGGCGAUCUCUGAGGAGGAGAGAAAAUGGUGGAGCAGAGGGAAAAAGUUUCCGAUGGAAUUGGAAUUGAGGGGAUGUGGGGAAGGAAAAAGAUGGAGGAGAAGGAGAAGGAGUUGGGAGAUUAAGGAGGAGAGAAGAGCUGCGAGAGCUCGGGAAUCCAUUUUCUGUCUCUUGGAUUUGUCGGGCGGAAUCAUAUUUUCGAUUUCAGAGCAAAUCAAAAGGACAGGAGACAGGACUGAGGACUGAGGACCGG